AUUGAACGCUGGCGGCAGGCCUAACACAUGCAAGUCGGACGAGCGGCGGACGGGUGAGUAAUGUCUGGGAAUCUGCCUGAUGGCGGGGGAUAACUACUGGAAACGGUAGCUAAUACCGCAUACCAUCAGAUGAACCCAGAUGGGAUUAGCUAGUAGGUAGGGUAACGGCUCACCUAGGCGACGAUCCCUAGCUGGUCUGAGAGGAUGACCAGCAACACUGUGACUGAGACACGGUCCAGAAUCCUACGGGAGGCAGCAGUGGGGAAUAUUGCAAAAUGGGCGCAAGCCUGAUGCAGCCAUGCCGCGUGUAUGAAGAAGGCCUUGGGGUUGUAAAGUACUUUCAGCCGGGAGGCGUUACCCACAGAAGAAGCACCGGCUAACUCCGUGCCAGCAGCCGCGGUAAUUC
rnacentral:rRNA from 1 species